UACGUAGGUGGCAAGCGUUGUCCGGAUUUACUGGGUGUAAAGGGCGCGUAGGCGGGAAUACAAGUCAGAUGUGAAAUGCUGAGGCUUAACCUCAGAGCUGCAUUUGAAACUGUAUUUCUUGAGUAUCGGAGAGGCAGGCGGAAUUCCUAGUGUAGCGGUGAAAUGCGUAGAUAUUAGGAGGAACACCAGUGGCGAAGGCGGCCUGCUGGACGACAACUGACGCUGAUGCGCGAAAGCGUGGGGAGCAAACAGG
rnacentral:rRNA from 1 species